GGGGAGUACCGCGGGAGCCCGCCGCAGCUGUCACAAAGCUGCAGGGCUGAGAGGGCGUCAGAGCCGACCGCUUGACCUGAUCCGGUUAGUACCGGCGUAGGGAAGGAUGACAAUGACCCC
rnacentral:ncRNA from 2 species